GACGAACGCUGGCGGCGUGCUUAACACAUGCAAGUCGAACGGGCCUGUCUUCUUUUUUGGGGGUGGGUUGAGUGGCGAACGGGUGAGUAUCACGUGAGUAACCUGCCCUUCGGUCCUGGAUAACCGCUUGAAAGGGCGGCUAAUACGGGGUGGUCCGGUUGGUCCGCAUGGGCUGGUCGGGAUAGAUUCACUGUUUUUGGUGUUUCGGCGGGGGAUAGGCUCGCGGCCUAUCAGCUUGUUGGUGGGGUGAUGGCCUACCAAGGCGGUGACGGGUAGCCGGGCUGAGAGGGGGGGCGGCCACACUGGGACUGAGAUACGGCCCAGACUCCUGCGGGAGGCAGCAGUGGGGGGUAUUGCACAAUGGGCGGAAGCCUGAUGCAGCGACGUCGCGUGAGGGAUGGAGGCCUUCGGGUUGUGAACCUCUGUUUCCGGUGGUGAAGGCCCUGUCCGUGUGGUGGGGUUGACGGUAGCCGGGGAUGAAGCGCCGGCUAACUACGUG
rnacentral:rRNA from 1 species